rnacentral:rRNA from 1 species
GAUGAACGCUGGCGGCGUGCCUAAUACAUGCAAGUCGAGCGAACGGACGAGAAGCUUGCUUCUCUGAUGUUAGCGGCGGACGGGUGAGUAACACGUGGAUAACCUACCUAUAAGACUGGGAUAACUUCGGGAAACCGGAGCUAAUACCGGAUAAUAUUUUGAACCGCAUGGUUCAAAAGUGAAAGACGGUCUUGCUGUCACUUAUAGAUGGAUCCGCGCUGCAUUAGCUAGUUGGUAAGGUAACGGCUUACCAAGGCAACGAUGCAUAGCCGACCUGAGAGGGUGAUCGGCCACACUGGAACUGAGACACGGUCCAGACUCCUACGGGAGGCAGCAGUAGGGAAUCUUCCGCAGUGGGCGAAAGCCUGACGGAGCAACGCCGCGUGAGUGAUGAAGGUCUUCGGAUCGUAAAACGCUGUUAUUAGGGAAGAACAUAUGUGUAAGUAACUGUGCACAUCUUGACGGUACCUAAGCAGAAAGCCACGGCUAACUACGU